rnacentral:rRNA from 1 species
CCUACGGGAGGUAGCAGUGGGGAAUAUUGCACAAUGGGCGCAAGCCUGAUGCAGCCAUGCCGCGUGUGUGAAGAAGGCCUUCGGGUUGUAAAGCACUUUCAGCGGGGAGGAAGGCGUUAAGGUUAAUAACCUUGUCGAUUGACGUUACCCGCAGAAGAAGCACCGGCUAACUCCGUGCCAGCAGCCGCGGUAAUACGGAGGGUGCAAGCGUUAAUCGGAAUUACUGGGCGUAAAGCGCACGCAGGCGGUCUGUCAAGUCGGAUGUGAAAUCCCCGGGCUCAACCUGGGAACUGCAUUCGAAACUGGCAGGCUAGAGUCUUGUAGAGGGGGGUAGAAUUCCAGGUGUAGCGGUGAAAUGCGUAGAGAUCUGGAGGAAUACCGGUGGCGAAGGCGGGCCCCUGGACAAAGACUGACGCUCAGGUGCGAAAGCGUGGGGAGCAAACAGGAUUAGAUACCCGGGUAGUC